UUGUACAGGUUAUCAGUUAUAUUACAGUGUCACAUCCAGUACCUAUUCGUUUAUUUCUGAAAUUUACAUUACACAGUUGAGAAUUGAAUAUUUUUAUGUAAAUCAUAGGAUGCAUCAGAGCCCCCGAGGAGGUGGAAAAGAAAUGGCAUAACAUCCAAAGUAAAGCCAGGGGAGAAAUUGCAAGGUACAAGCAAGGUGUUAUCAGCACAGGUGGUGGUCCAUCACCAUGCCCUACUUUGAGUGCCACAUCCGAGGUAGUGUGGGAUAUUCUGGGGCAGGAUAAUGUAUCCAUAUCUGGAAUCCCAUCAGCCAUGGACACAUCCCUCCUACAGGUGGUCAGCCUUUCUGACACAGUUAAUGCAAGUGAAUACAGUGACAUGGCAGCACUUGACUUGCAGACACUCCAGGCCAUGGGAGCAGCUGUCCCUACUGCAUCAACAGUGUCUGUGCCUUUACAGCCGGAACCAUCAGUGCCAGACACCGCCUCCUCAGCACAGGGAUCC